rnacentral:rRNA from 1 species
AGUGAAUAGAUACCCGGGUAGUCCACGCCGUAAACUAUGGAUGCUAGCUGUUAGAGGUAUCGACCCCUCUAGUAGCGAAAGCUAACGCGUUAAGCAUCCCGCCUGUGGAGUACGGUCGCAAGACUAAAACAUAAAGGAAUUGACGGGGACCCGCACAAGCGGUGGAGCGUGUUGUUUAAUUCGAUGGUAAGCGAAGAACCUUACCCAGGCUUGACAUCCUUGGAAUUUUGGCGAAAGCCGAGAGUGCCUUCGGGAACCAAGUGACAGGUGUUGCAUGGCCGUCGUCAGCUCGUGUCGUGAGAUGUUUGGUUAAGU